rnacentral:lncRNA from 10 species
CGAGCAUCUGGGUUUACAGACGUGCACCAUCAUGCCCAGCUAAUUUUUUUUACAAAUUGUGGAGUCCUUUAUUAGCCGGCAACCGGGAGACAGCUAGCGCUCAAAAUUCUCUCGGCCCUGAAGAAGGGGCUAGAUUUUCUUUUAUACUAAGGUCUAAAUAGGGGAGGGGGGUUUAACUGAAGCAGUUUUACAGAAGCAGAAUAGGCAAAAAGUUAAAAAAGUUAAUUGGUUAUAGAAGCAGUUACAAAAAAUAAACAGUUCCAGGUACAGGGGCUUAAACUAUCACUAAGAGAUAAAUGCGGGGGCUUUAGGUACCUUCCACCGAGCACAUUCCCAGGAGCUGCUGGUACAGCUUGCCUCAAUAUCUUAUCAGCAGGUGAAUUCCUGGAUGUGCUUGGAGUCAGCUUGCACUAGUUACUCCCUUAGGGGGAUAAAGAGGGCUGCAAGCAAAGAAACUAAAAUGGAGUCUGUCCGGCUCUGUCUGCUAGGAGAGAGUCACUCAGGUUUAAACAAGGUAGGGUAUCACAACAAGUUUUAAAUGUGCCAUUUAAGUUGGUUUUUUGUUUAUGUCCUUCAUUAUGGUUGGCAAACCAAUCGCCUCCCAAACAUGUCCAUUCCCUAAUUUCCUGGAACCUGUGAAUAUGUUACCUUAAGGUGACAAAAGGAAUUAUGCAGAUGUAAUUAAGGUUAAGGAUCUGGAGAUGAGAUUAUUCUGAAGUAUCUGGGUAGGCCCAAUCUAAUCUCAGGAGAGAGUCAAAGCAUGAGAAGAAUUCCAUGCCCUGUUGCUGCUUCUGAAAUGUAGGGGCGGGCCAGGCGCGGUGGCUCACGCCUGUAAUCCCAGCACUUUGGGAGGCCAAGGCAGGCGGAUCACCAGGUCAGGCAUUUGAGACCAGCCUGGUCAACUUGGUG